rnacentral:rRNA from 1 species
CUAAUGCAGUCGAGCGAAUGGAUUAAGAGCUUGCUCUUAUGAAGUUAGCGGCGGACGGGUGAGUAACACGUGGGUAACCUGCCCAUAAGACUGGGAUAACUCCGGGAAACCGGGGCUAAUACCGGAUAACAUUUUGAACCGCAUGGUUCGAAAUUGAAAGGCGGCUUCGGCUGUCACUUAUGGAUGGACCCGCGUCGCAUUAGCUAGUUGGUGAGGUAACGGCUCACCAAGGCAACGAUGCGUAGCCGACCUGAGAGGGUGAUCGGCCACACUGGGACUGAGACACGGCCCAGACUCCUACGGGAGGCAGCAGUAGGGAAUCUUCCGCAAUGGACGAAAGUCUGACGGAGCAACGCCGCGUGAGUGAUGAAGGCUUUCGGGUCGUAAAACUCUGUUGUUAGGGAAGAACAAGUGCUAGUUGAAUAAGCUGGCACCUUGACGGUACCUAACCAGAAAGCCACGGCUAACUACGUGCCAGCAGCCGCGGUAAUACGUAGGUGGCAAGCGUUAUCCGGAAUUAUUGGGCGUAAAGCGCGCGCAGGUGGUUUCUUAAGUCUGAUGUGAAAGCCCACGGCUCAACCCGUGGAGGGUCAUUGGGAGACUGUGAGACUCGUGUGCAGAAGAGAG